rnacentral:rRNA from 1 species
GAUCAUGGCUCAGAUUGAACGCUGGCGGCAUGCCUUACACAUGCAAGUCGAACGGCAGCGGGCCUUCGGGUGCCGGCGAGUGGCGAACGGGUGAGUAAUGCAUCGGAACGUGCCAUUGAGUGGGGGAUAACGUAGCGAAAGUUGCGCUAAUACCGCAUAUUCUGUGAGCAGGAAAGCAGGGGACCGCAAGGCCUUGCGCUCUUUGAGCGGCCGAUGUCAGAUUAGCUAGUUGGUGAGGUAAAGGCUUACCAAGGCGACGAUCUGUAGCGGGUCUGAGAGGAUGAUCCGCCACACUGGAACUGAGACACGGUCCAGACUCCUACGGGAGGCAGCAGUGGGGAAUUUUGGACAAUGGGGCAACCCUGAUCCAGCCAUGCCGCGUGAGUGAAGAAGGCCUUCGGGUUGUAAAGCUCUUUCGGCCGGGAAGAAGUCGCAUGGGUGAAUACCCUGUGUGGAUGACGGUACCGGAACAAGAAGCACCGGCUAACUACGUG